rnacentral:rRNA from 1 species
GGAAUAUUUGCAGCAAUGGGACGAAAGUCUGACGCAGCGACGCCGCGUGGAGGAUGAAGGUUUUCGGAUCGUAAACUCCUGUCAAGAGGGAAGAAACCUAUCAAAACUAAUACUUUUGGUAAUUGACGGUACCUCUAGAGGAAGCACCGGCUAAUUCAGUGCCAGCAGCCGCGGUAAUACUGAAGGUGCAAGCGUUAAUCGGAAUCACUGGGCGUAAAGCGCUCGUAGGUGGCUUUGUAAGUCAGGUGUGAAAGCCCACGGCUCAACCGUGGAAUUGCACUUGAUACUGCAUCGCUAGAGUAUAGGAGAGGGAAGUGGAAUUUCUGGUGUAGGAGUGAAAUCCGUAGAGAUCAUAAGGAACACCCGUGGCGAAGGCGACUUCCUGGACUAUUACUGACACUGAGGAGCGAAAGCGUGGGGAGCAAACAGGAUUAGAUACCCUGGUAGUCCACGCCGUAAACGAUGGGUACUAGGUGUCGGGGGCUUGACCUUCGGUGCCGUAGUUAACGCGUUAAGUACCCCGCCUGGGGAGUACGGUCGCAAGGCUGAAACUCAAAGGAUUUGGAC